UCCUUCUCCUUCUCUUUCCUUCUCCUUCCUUUCUCUCCUUACUCCAUUUUUUUCCUGUUCCUUCCUAUCCUUCUUCGUUUUGCUUGUUUCUUCUUCUCCUUGCACCUUCUUCUCCUCCUUCCUUCUCCUUUUUCAUUCCUCCUCUUCUUCCUUUUCCUUUCUCACCUUCUUCCUCUCCGUUUUCCUCUCCUUGCUCCUUCCUCUCCUUGCUUCCUCCUCAACUUGUUCCUUCCUCUCCCUCAUUCCUUCUUCUUGUUCCCUUUUCUCCUUCUUCCUUCUCCUUGUUCCUUCCUCUCCUCUGUUCCUCCCUCUCCUUGUCCUUCCUCCCCCAGACAACAACUUGAGGACAGAGACCAUGGAGGACAAAUCCCCCUGGCAGAACCUCAUGGAAGAGGCUGUUUUGAACAGCUCCACUGUACAGGAAAGCAAUGGGGAGGAAAAGCCGCAAACAUUCCCCAUGGGAAAGGGCUCCAAACCCGCUCCAUGGUGCUUUGAGGAGGAAAGACCCCCCAUGUGCUUGGAAGGUGGCUGGAGCUUCAGCCAGAGCUCUGAUCUGGUGGUCCAUGAGCAGCUUCACAGCAGAGAGAAGCCCUUCACGUGCUUGGAAUGUGGGAAGAGCUUCAGCUGGAGGUCCCACCUGAUCCACCACCAGAAGAUCCACACUGGGGAACGGCCCUACACAUGUGGGGAGUGUGGGAAGAGCUUCAAUCAGAGCUCUGCCUUGACCUCACACCAAAGGACCCACCAGUAAGGGAAGCCAUCUGAGUGCCCCAACUGCGGGAAGAGCUUCGUCCGCUGCUCCAACUCCAUCACCCAUCGGAGGACCCAUGUUGGAUGAUCCACAGUGACUCACAUUGGGCAGAGACCUGGUGGGUAAAGGCCUGUUGACCAACGUUUCUGGUGACCCAUGUUCCUUGUAACCCACUGUGGUAGUGCUUUACGCCCUCCCCCAGGCCUCGCUAUGAUCUGAGAAAUGCUCGUUAGGCCUCGGCCUUGAUGAACAGCCCCUGGGCUGAGCUGCUUUUGAACUGCUCAGAAACACUGUCUGCUCAUAGGAACUGAUGCUGUCUAAUGAGCUCCUUCUUUUCUUACACAACGGCCUUGGAAACUUGUUUUUCUUGCCCAAAGAACAACCCAAGUGGAAUCGUAUUUUUGUUCUCCAACUUUCAGAGAAAGUCCCUAACCUGAACUGGAGCCAGGAUGGACAGUUCCUGUGCCUUAAAGCCCCCUCUGCGUGGGCCCCAUAACCAGCAGUGCUGAUUGAGACCCUUUGAGCUCUCUGAGGCCACAGCAGCCACGACAGCAACCUCCCUUUGCUUGGGCCUCUCAGAGCCCCCAACUCUCCCAUUUGCUGCACUCAGAGGAUCCUGACCGACAGCAGAUCCGGGGCUGAUCCCUCUCACUCCUUGAAGCUCAGCCGUUCUUCUGAGAAUGUGCAAUGGCAUCCCAAGGGAGGAUUUUCCUGAAUCCCAAGGGAAUUGUUCCCAGAGCAUGACAACGGACCUCUGAUGCUGAAAGGGACAGAGAGGAAAAACAUAAUCGACAACAGUGCUGAACCAACAGCUCUUGCGGGGAAGCUGCCAGCAGGGACAGAGUGGUGACAAGGUGAUCCCCCCUCAGGCUGAGCUUCUGAAGCGAGAGAAAAGGAGGCCUGCGCAGGACUGCACCUCAAGGAGCGGCUGCAUGGCACUACCAGGAUGGCCCAGCUCCUGGGGUUUGGUUUGUCCUUGUUUUCAGGCUGAGGGGAUGGGAAAUGUUAGCCUUGGCACAUUGCUGUGUUAGCUCCCUGAGCACAUUGCCUUAAUUUCCCAAAUACCACUUGGCACAGCAUGCGGAAGCUGCCCCACCACAUUGCCUUUGUCUGGGGACACUAUGCUGACACAUCCCACGAGGAGCACCUGCCAUCUUGUUUGUGUGCCCAGUGGUGAAUACCUUUUGGGGGUGAAACACUUUCUUUUUUUGUAUACUUUUGCUCUUAAUAUUGCUGUUGUUACUGUGCGUGUCUUAUUCCAUUGCUGUGUGCUUUCAGAAAAUUGUUAUCUGAA